CAGGGAAUCUUGCACAAUGGGCGAAAGCCUGAUGCAGCAACGCCGCGUGUGGGAUGAAUGCCUUCGGGUUGUAAACCACUUUCAGGAGGGAAGAAAUUGACGGUACCUCCAAAAGAAGCCCCGGCCAACUACGUGCCAGCAGCCGCGGUAAUACGUAGGGGGCAAGCGUUAUCCGGAAUCAUUGGGCGUAAAGAGCUCGUAGGCGGUUCAGCAAGUCGGCUGUGAAAGUCCAAGGCUCAACCUUGGAAAUGCAGUCGAUACUGCUGUGACUAGAGUCUGGUAGAGGAGAAUGGAAUUCCCGGUGUAGCGGUGGAAUGCGCAGAUAUCGGGAGGAACACCAGUAGCGAAGGCGGUUCUCUGGGCCUCGACUGACGCCGAGGAGCGAAAGCAUGGGUAGCAA
rnacentral:rRNA from 1 species